rnacentral:hammerhead_ribozyme from 1 species
GUACUGUUGAAGAGUCCCAAAUAAGGACGAAACAGCUGUCCAGUAC